CGCGGUAUCCUAACCGUGCGAAGGUAGCGUAAUCACUUGUUCUUUAAAUGGGGACUAGUAUGAAUGGCAUCACGAGGGUCAAACUGUCUCCUUUUUCUAAUCAGUGAAACUAAUCUCCCCGUGAAGAAGCGGGGAUUAGCUUAUAAGACGAGAAGACCCUAUGGAGCUUAAAACAAAUUUACACUUGCUUUUAUACAUUCACCUUCCUGAACAUUCACAUAAAAUUUAGCACAACUGAUAAUUAGUUUUCGAUUGGGGUGAUCAUGGAGAAAAAAAUAACCUCCACAACGAUAAGGGAACCCCCCUGAGCCAAAAGCCACAACUUUAAGCACUAAAAAAUUAACGCACCUUGACCCAAUUACUUGAUCAAUGAACCAAGUUACCCUAGGGAUAACAGCGCAAUCCACUUCAAGAGCUCCUAUCGACAAGUGGGCUUACGACCUCGAUGUUGGA
rnacentral:rRNA from 1 species